GCAAUGGUGGUUCAGUAGUAGAAUUCUCAUUCUCCAUGCAGGAGACCUGGGUUCAAUUCCCAGCCAAUGCC
rnacentral:tRNA from 1 species